GGAGGGGCAACGACACCGGUGUGUCGGCCGGGCUUCAAACCCGGUGGGUGGCGCCAUGCGCUGCUGGGUGGGUUCGACCCCCACGCCCCUCCGCCA
rnacentral:tRNA from 1 species